GGCGCAGCUACCAUGCAAGUCGAGCGGGCAUAGCAAUAUGUCAGCGGCAGACGGGUGAGUAACGCGUGGGAACGUACCUUUUGGUUCGGAACAACACAGGGAAACUUGUGCUAAUACCGGAUAAGCCCUUACGGGGAAAGAUUUAUCGCCGAAAGAUCGGCCCGCGUCUGAUUAGCUAGUUGGUGAGGUAAUGGCUCACCAAGGCGACGAUCAGUAGCUGGUCUGAGAGGAUGAUCAGCCACAUUGGGACUGAGACACGGCCCAAACUCCUACGGGAGGCAGCAGUGGGGAAUAUUGGACAAUGGGCGCAAGCCUGAUCCAGCCAUGCCGCGUGAGUGAUGAAGGCCCUAGGGUUGUAAAGCUCUUUUGUGCGGGAAGAUAAUGACGGUACCGCAAGAAUAAGCCCCGGCUAACUUCGUGCCAGCAGCCGCGGUAAUACGAAGGGGGCUAGCGUUGCUCGGAAUCACUGGGCGUAAAGGGUGCGUAGGCGGGUCUUUAAGUCAGGGGUGAAAUCCUGGAGCUCAACUCCAGAACUGCCUUUGAUACUGAAGAUCUUGAGUUCGGGAGAGGUGAGUGGAACUGCGAGUGUAGAGGUGAAAUUCGUAGAUAUUCGCAAGAACACCAGUGGCGAAGGCGGCUCACUGGCCCGAUACUGACGCUGAGGCACGAAAGCGUGGGGAGCAAACAGGAUUAGAUACCCUGGUAGUCCACGCCGUAAACGAUGAAUGCCAGCCGUUAGUGGGUUUACUCACUAGUGGCGCAGCUAACGCUUUAAGCAUUCCGCCUGGGGAGUACGGUCGCAAGAUUAAAACUCAAAGGAAUUGACGGGGGGCCCGCACAAGCGGUGGAGCAUGUGGUUUAAUUCGACGCAACGCGCAAAACCUUACCAGCCCUUGACAUCCCGGUCGCGGACUCCCGAGACGGGAAUUCUUCAAUUCGGCUGGACGGGAAACAGGUGCUGCAUGGCUGUCGUCCGCUUCGUGUUCGUGAGAAGUUGGGUUAAUUCCCGCAACAAGGGGCAACCCCGUUCCUUAUUGCUACC
rnacentral:rRNA from 1 species